GCAAGUCGUGCGAGAAAGUAUCUUCGGAUAUGAGUAGAGCGGCGGACGGGUGAGUAACGCGUAGGAAUCUACCUAGUAGAAGGGGAUAGCCCGAGGAAACUCGGAUUAAUACCGUAUACCUCCUUAGGGAGAAAGAGGGCCUCUCUUGAUGCUCUCGCUACUAGAUGAGCCUGCGUAAGAUUAGCUUGUUGGUGAGGUAAUGGCUCACCAAGGCUACGAUCUUUAGCUGGUCUGAGAGGACGAUCAGCCACAUUGGGACUGAGACACGGCCCAGACUCCUACGGGAGGCAGCAGUGGGGAAUAUUGGACAAUGGGCGCAAGCCUGAUCCAGCCAUACCGCGUGUGUGAAGAAGGCCUUCGGGUUGUAAAGCACUUUAAGCAGGGAAAAAAAGUUAUAAGUUAAUACCUUAUAGCCGUGAUAUUACCUGCAGAAUAAGCACCGGCUAAUUCAGUGCCAGCAGCCGCGGUAAUACUGAAGGUGCAAGCGUUAAUCGGAAUUACUGGGCGUAAAGCGCGCGUAGGUGGUUUGUUAAGUUGGAUGUGAAAGCCCUGGGCUCAACCUAGGAACUGCAUCCAAAACUAACUCACUAGAGUACGAUAGAGGGAGGUAGAAUUCAUAGUGUAGCGGUGGAAUGCGUAGAUAUUAUGAAGAAUAUCAGUGGCGAAGGCGGCCUCCUGGAUCUGUACUGACACUGAGGUGCGAAAGCGUGGGUAGCGAACAGGAUUAGAUACCCUGGUAGUCCACGCCGUAAACGAUGACAACUAGCUGUUGGAAGACAAUGUUUUUCAGUGGCGCAGCUAACGUUUUAAGUUGUCCGCCUGGGGAGUA
rnacentral:rRNA from 1 species